AAAAGCACAAAUCAUUUCACCAUUUCUAUCACAAACUAGCUCACAGAAAUUACAAAACCAUUCAAGCUAAGGUUUUAAUAUUCUCUAUUGUAAUUAAUUGUUUGUGAUGGCCGCUUCAAAGGCUUUAGCCUCGACUUCUCUUCUCCUGAUUCUAAACCUUCUCUUUUUCACUUUGGUAACCUCUACUGAUCAUCAUUCCUCAUGCCCACCACCACCUGCACCAAAACCAAAAUGCCCACCGUCACCGAAACCUAUAUCUCCACCAACAAAAAUCCCACCGUCACCGAAACCUAUAUCUCCACCAAAAAGCCCACCGUCACCCACACCGAAACCGAUAUCUCCACCACCACCCAAGAAGGAAACUUGCCCUAUAGAUUCCCUAAAGUUGGGUGUUUGUGCUAAUGUGCUCGGUGGCCUUAUCGGUGCUAUCAUUGGAACCCCUCCUAAGGAGCCAUGCUGCAGCCUUCUUAAUGGUCUUGUUGAUCUUGAGGCCGCUGUUUGCCUUUGCAUCGCGAUCAAAGCUAAUAUUUUAGGUAUUAAUCUUAAUGUUCCUGUUGAUUUGAGCUUGUUGCUAAAUUACUGUGGAAAGAAGGUUCCCACCGGUUUCCAAUGCCCGUAAACUACUAGCGUUAUUUCCCCCUUGAGUUUUGUUUUAUAUAUUUUCCCUUUGUAGUGUUAUAAUGAGUGUUGCUUGAGUUAUUGUACUGUCAUAGAUAUUUCAAUUAACAUUUGUAUCUAUGCGAUGUAAUGACUGGAAUAAAGGAGGAAGGCAAUUAGCCUUCUUUCAUUUCUGUUGUAUUCUAUUUGAUCCGUUCAAUAUAGAAUGAUAUGUUUCACAUACCUAAGUGUUGAUAAAUUAUGUAUUCGAUCUAUAGAUUUAUGAACACCUGCAUGCUUACUAAGAUUAGUCUAUAGUAUGGGAGAAGUAUUGAUUCUUACAGGGAGCAUCCAUGCUCUUUUUGAAUUAUUAUAAAAAAAAUAAAAUUGUGGCAAUUAACCACAACCAUGAAGACACACACACACACACACACAUAUAUAUAUACACACACACACACAUGCACAUACAUACACACACACAUAGCACAAAUAAAUACAUAGGAGUACAUUUAUAGUCUAGGACUUUGUAGAAUGAGGAAAGUAGAUCCCAGAAAUGGUGAGGAAGAAUCUCAUCAACUUUAAUUUAUUCCGUGGAAAAUAUAAAUUGAUUCUCAAACCCUUAUUAAAGUAAAAAUAUAUCUAUGCAUGGACUGCUUAAUUUUGAUGUAAGGUUAUCUUUAAGCUUAAAUAUAAAUCCUUUUAAACACGACUAUGGUGAUCCAGAUCAAUAACAAGUUGGCCAUGGCCUAUUAUGCAACUUCAUUAGACUUGCUAUUAUACUGUCUCUCUCCCCACGCGCACGCAUCUCAUAAAUAGAUCAUAUGAUCAUAUGUACAAAUUUUGUCGAUAUGCGAAUUAAGUUCAUAAUGAAUUAUAUGUAGCUUCUUAUCCAACAAGACAAACCAGAAAAUAAUAACAAUAACAAUAAUAGUAAUUUACAUUUGCUACCAAGUAAAAUAUUACAACAGCAAUAAUAAUAAUUAACAGAUGUAGCAUAAUUAUGGAGGAUUAUUGUUUGUAAUAUAUACAGGUAAUUGUGAUAUUUGGGAAUAAUGACCACCGAAUCGACUGUAGCUAGUACAUGAAUUUGGGACGGUCACACUAUAAUUAUUUUCUUGUAAAUAUAUUUAUGCUAUUUCUUGUAAAUAUAUUGGAAUAAUUAUAACUACAAAACCCAAACUUUUUAAUUAAAGUAGUUAGUUUGGUGAAGUUUGAGCGAUGUACGUAUCAAGAAGUAUAUUCACCAAAUGGGAGAACGCUAGGAUUGACUCAUACUUUAUGUGAAUCCGACUAAUGACCACUACGAUAGAGUAGUCGAGGGUCUCAAAGUCAAUCACAAUUGUGUAAUCGGGAUUAGGAAUUUAUUAAUAGUCCGACCUUGAGUUUUACUAAUGUAUUGGGUUUGAACUCAUGCUAUAUUAGUUAGGGUUUUCUAGUUACUAUAAAUAUUGUUUGGUGCGUGAAUCAUUGUAGAGCGUGUAAGAUAUUUAAUAAAUACAUCAGACAAACAUGAUAUGUAACCAACUCAUCUAACAACUUAAGUUAUUAGAUGGAGGGCCCAACAAUGUAUAUCAUGCUAACACUCCCCCUUAAAUGUAACUUUUUAUAUUAGGUGGAGGGUUUAACAAUAUAUAUCAUGCUAACACUCCCCCUCAAAUGCAACUUUUUAUAGAGAAUAUAGAAAUUAAAACACAUUUGCACUAUUAAAUUAAUAUAAAGACAAUUGUGCAGCUGUCAAAUCCCAAAAUUUUGCACACCCAGAACUCUAAUACUAUGUUAAGUAACCAACUUAUCUAAUAACUUAAACUAUUAGAUGGAUGACCCAGCAAUGUAUAUUAUGGUAACACAUGACUAGCCAAAUUGGUGAACCUGAGUAUAUCAUGUGGCUGUUAUUUUUCGUUCUUCAUCUAUUUUUCUAUAAAAUUAUUGUGUUAAAUAAUUUUAUAUAUAUAUAUAUAUAUAUAUAUCAAGCAUGAUCAAGUGGCAAUAGUUUUUCCUAUUGGAGACUUAAUACUGUGUGCAAUUUUUAUGCUUGGUUUGUAAAGAUGCUUCAUUUUCGCCUCGAAGAGAAGUAAUAAUCAAACGUGCCAAGAAGUUGCAAAUACCGGGCAUUUUUAGAUCAACAAGGGGAUAAAUAACGUUUUGGUCAUUGUACUGGGGUCCGGUUUUUAUUCUGAUAACCGAAUUUUUUUUUGUUACAAUCGAAUUACUGUACUCUCAUAUAUUACAAAAUGGUCACUAAUUUAACUUUCCGUCCAAAAGUCAGACGGAAACCGUGAGUGUGCAAGCUGGCAUGAUGACUGUGCAAGCUGGUCCCAUUUUUUGCUUACAUGGAGCACAGAAAAUGCAAGGAGAUAGAUUAUUAUAGUACAAACCACCAAAACUAUUAACUACUUCACCUAAAGAAUUCCAAAACUAAUAAUAAUAAUAAUAAUAAUAAUAAUAAUAAUAAUAAUAAUAAUAAUAAUAAAAUACUAUUAAUAGUAAUAAUUUUAAAAUUCUGUUUUUAAUUUAUUUUUUUNNNNNNNNNNNNNNNNNNNNNNNNNNNNNNNNNNNNNNNNNNNNNNNNNNNNNNNNNNNNNNNNNNNNNNNNNNNNNNNNNNNNNNNNNNNNNNNNNNNNNNNNNNNNNNNNNNNNNNNNNNNNNNNNNNNNNNNNNNNNNNNNNNNNNNNNNNNNNNNNNNNNNNNNNNNNNNNNNNNNNNNNNNNNNNNNNNNNNNNNNNNNNNNNNNNNNNNNNNNNNNNNNNNNAAAAUUCUGUAUUUAAAAAAGAAAUCAAAAAUUCUGUAUUUAAAAAAGAAAUUAACGUUUUUCAAAAAGCUGUUUUUCAAAAAUUCUGUAUUUUAAUGUUUUUUAAAAAAGAAAUUAUGUUAAAAAAAAUCUGUAUUUAAAAAAGAAAUUAUAAAUUAAGAAUUAUAAUUUUUUUAAAAAAAUUCUAUUUUAAAAAAAAUAGAAUUUUUUAAAAACAGACUUUUUUAAAAACACAGAUUUUUUUAAAAAAUAUCUUUUUAAAAAAAACAGAUUUUUAAAAUGUUAAUUUUUUAAAAAAACGUUAUUUUUUUAAAAAAUUCUAUUUUUUAAAAAAUAGAUUUUUUUUAACAACAGAUUUGGUCAUUUUAAAAUUCUGUUUUUUUAAAAAAGCCGUUUUUUUAAAAAAGCCGUUUUUUUAAAAAAAUCUGUUUUUUAAAAAAGUCACAUUUAAAAAAAAAAGAAGCUGUUUUUUAAAAAAAAAUUAUAUUUUAAAAUUCUGUAUUUUAAAAAGCUGUCAUAUAUAUUAAAAUUUUGUUAUCAAUUUGAUAACAAAUUGAUAACGUGGUCAGUCAAUUUGUUAUAUAUAUUAAAACGUGGUCAGUCAAAUUUUGUAAUCAAUUUAAUAUAUUUUUAUUAUUUUAUUAAUUUAAAUUAUUUUAGUAAGGGUAAAUUUGACAAAUUAUUUUUUAUUCUGCAUUAAAAUAAAAAAACAAAUUAUUAUUAUUUAAAAAUUAUUAUUAUUAUUAUUUUGAAAUUAUUAUUAAUACUAUUAUUAUUAUUAUUAGUAUUUUAUUAUUAUUUUGAAAUUAUUAUUAUUAUUAUUAUUAUUAUUAUUAUUAGUUUUGGAAUUAUUAAGGUGAAGUAGUUAAUAGUUUUGGUGGAAUUUUGGAAUCUGUCUCUUUUCAUUUCCUUUGCUCCACGUAAGCAAGCUUGCACAGUCAUCAUGUCACUCACGAUUUCCGUCUGCUUUUUGGACGGAAAAUAAAAAUAAUGACCAUUUUGUAAUAUGUGAGAGUACAGUAAUUCGAUUGUAAGAAAAAAAGUUUCGGUUACCAAAAUAAAAACCAGACCCCAGUACAGUGACCAAAACGUUAUUUAUCCCGAUCAACAAGUGAUAAUUUUCUUAUUGUGAGAGGAAAUUGACAAGUAAUAAAAACUCAGAAAACUCCAAAUUCCAUAAAGAAUCACAUCCUACAAGUGCAACGCCAACUUGUCUCAAAUAAAGCAAAUUUCCAACCAAAUGUAUUCACAUGGGUCUCUAUAAUUAUUUCUUAAUCUUCUUGAUAAAAAAACCAAACUUUCCAUCUAUAAUAAGCAUUAUUCAUUUCACCAUUUCCAUCACAAACUAGCUCACAGAAAUUACAAACCAUUCUAGGUUUUAAUAUUCUUUAUUGUAGUUGUUUCUGAUGGCUUCAAAGGCUUUAGCCUCAACUUCUCUUCUCCUAGCCCUAAACCUUCUUUUCUUCACUAUGGUCAGUUGUACUCAUCAUACCCCAUGCCCACCACCGCCUGUACCGAAACCAAAAUGCCCACGGCCGCCUGCACCAAAACCGAUAUGCCCACCGUUAGGCCUGAUAAAAUAUGGUUAUGAAUUAGUUUUGAUUUUCAAAAUAUGGUUAUGGUUCCAUUUAAGAACUAAAAUCAUAUUAACCAUUUUUAAUAUGAGUUGUGUGGGUUGGAACUAUAUGGUUAUGGUUCAAAACCGUAUUAACCAUUUUAAGAUGUUUUGACUUUUAAACAAAAUUUUUGAAAAAUAAAAUUGUGACCGUCACAAUUAAAUUAAUUAAGUAAUAAUAUGAUACAAAAUUAUUAAUAUAAAUAAUAAAAUGCUAAAAAACUAUACUAAUAAAAUUUUAAAUUAAAAUUAUUAAUACCCUUCCAUAUUUAAAAUUCUUAAUGAUGAGGAACUGAGUUCAACCCCCACCCUCAAAUUAUCAAAUAAAUAAAUAAAUAAAUAAAAUUUGCAAUUCUAUCUUAUUAGUUUUUUACUUUAUACAAUUCUAUCAAAUAAAUAAAUAAAUAAAAUUAAUAAAUAAUAUUAGUACUUUAUACAAAUUUGUAAUAUAUAUUAUUUAAUCUUAGUAUUACUAAAUUAUUUUGUACAUAUUACUUAGUAACAUACCGUAUAUGUUCUGACUUUAGACUAAUUUAUAGUAAAUGUAAUGAGUUGCCCAAGGAUAAAUUAUUAAUUGUUUUUCAUUAAUUUCCUUUUGACGACCUUGAUCUUGUUGUACAGAAUUGUGAUCAUUUUCAGUCAUAUAAUACUGAAGACUUAUAUAUAUAUAUAUAUAUAGCCCGCCAGUCAUUUGGUUUGAUAAAUUAAAAUUAAAGAUCUCAUGAAAUUAAAUUAAUUAAAUCAAAUUAAAGAGAUUUUUCAAUUUUAUUACAGCAAAUAGGAAGGUAUCCGUGAAUCAUCGAGCCAUUAUUGCGGAGCAAAAUUUAAACUUAGCAUUAAAUAGAAACAUGGCAUUGACCCCCUGCACAUGCCACAUGGUAUAAAAUAUGAAUUGAAAAAUGAUUAACCGGUGGCCAUAUUGGCAUCGUUGUUGGAACCCCUCCUUAGGAGCCAUAUUGGCAUCGUUGUUGGAACCCCUCCUUAGGAGCCAUAUUGGCAUCGUUGUUGGAACCCCUCCUUAGGAGCCAUAUUGGCAUCGUUGUUGGAACCCCUCCUUAGGAGCCAUGCUACGGUCUUCUUAAAGGUCUUGUUGAUAUUGUAGCUGCUGUUUGCCUUUGCACCGCGAUCAAAGCUAAUGUUUUGGGCAUUAACCUUAAUGUUCCUGUUGAUUUGAGCUUGUUGCUUAAUUACUGUGGAAAGAAG
rnacentral:lncRNA from 1 species